AAAAAGAGCAGAACGCAUUAUAAAACUGCAUAAAUGCAUUUUCAAAAUAACCACUGAAACACUUCGCAAAAUGCCACCUUCUUCAAAAGGGGCAAGAGAAUGUGCUAAAUGAAUUAUCUACCCAAUCCUACCCUGUAAUGUCUUAGAAACUCUAUAAAGACUAGAAGGACAUGUAUAAGCCAUUUGUGAGGUCAGUAUAUCCUAUCUGAUAUUUUUGUCCUCAUGGGUUAAGAGGAAGAGAUUGAUGAAAAUAGACUGAUGAGAAAAUGCUACAUUCACGGGUCUGCUCAAAAGGCAAGUAUGAAGAAUAUGGUGAAGGACAAGAAAAAAAAGAGCACUAGCUAAUCAUAAAAUGAGACCUGUUAAUGUCAGACAGG
rnacentral:lncRNA from 1 species